rnacentral:rRNA from 1 species
AAUGAACGUUGGCGGCGUGGAUUAGGCAUGCAAGUCGAGCGAUAUCCGUAGCAAUACGGUGAAAGCGGCGAAAGGGAGAGUAAUGCAUGGAUAUCUACCCUCGGGUCUGGGAUAGCUGCGGGAAACUGCAGGUAAUACCAGAUGACAUCUCCGGAUCAAAGGUGUGAUUCCGCCCGAGGAGGAGUCCAUGUCCUAUUAGCUAGUUGGUGAGGUAAUGGCCCACCAAGGCUGAGAUGGGUACGAGGUGUGAGAGCACGACCUCGCUCACUGGGACUGAGACACUGCCCAGACACCUACGGGUGGCUG